rnacentral:misc_RNA from 1 species
GGAAGUAAAGUCGUAACAAGGUUUCCGUAGGUGUACCUGCGGAAGGAUCAUUCAUAAUAAGUGUUUUACUGCACUUUUUAAAAAUAGUACUCACCUUGUGUGCAAUGUUGUGUUUCUUUUCGGAGAAACACCUACACCAACCUAUAACCUUGAACCACUUUGUCUGAAAAACUAUUAUGAAUACUUAAUUCAAAAUACAACUUUCAACAACGGAUCUCUUGGCUCUC